AGGCCCUCGUACUGAUGCUGAUACUGCACUUGUUGCACAACUGAAUUACCGCUUAUUAGACUGAAAUACCACUUAUUAGACUGAAUUACAGCUAAUUAGAGUGAAUUACCACUUAUUAGACUGAAUUACCGCUUAUUAGACUGAAUUAUCGCUUUUUCGACUGAAUUAGCUACCGCUUAUUAGGCUGAAUUACCAUUUAUUAGAUUAAAUUAACACAUAUUAGACUGAAUUAGCUACCGUUUAUUAGACUGAAUUGCUGUUUAUUAGAUUGAAUUAGCUACUGCUUAUUAGACUGAAUUACCUGUUAUUAGACUGAAUUACAGUUUAUUAGUCUGAAAUACAGCUUAUUAGACUGAAUGAGCUACCGCUUAUUAGACUGAAUUAGCCACUGCUUAUUAGACUGAAAUACCGCUUAUCAGACUGAAUUAGCCACUGCUUAUUAGACUGAAAUACCGCUUAUCAGACUGAAUUAGCUACUGCGUAGUAGACUGAAAUAUCGCAUAUCAGACUGAAUUAGCUACUGCGUAGUAGACUGAAAUAUCGCUUAUCAGACUAAAUUAGCUACUGCUUAUUAGACUGAAUUACCGUUUAUCAGACUGAAUUAGCUACUGCGUAUUAGACUGAAUGACCUCUUAUUAGACUGAAUUAGCUACUGCUUAUUAGGCUGAAUUACCGUUUAUCAGACUGAAUUAGCUACUGCGUAUUAGACUGAAUUACCGCUUAUUAGACUGAAUUAGCUACUGCUUAUUAGACUGAAUUACCGUUUAUCAGACUGAAUUAGCUACUGCGUAUUAGACUGAAUUACCUCUUAUUAGACUGAAUUAGCUACUGCUUAUUAGGCUGGAUUACCGUUUAUCAGACUGAAUUAGCUACUGCUUAUGAGACUGAAUUACCAUUUAUCAGAAUGAAUUAGCUAUUGCGUAUUAGACUGAAUUACCUCUUAUUAGACUGAAUUAGCUACUGCUUAUUAGACUGAAAUACCGCUUAUUAGACUGAAUUAGCUACUGCUUAUUAGACUUAAAUACCGCUUAUCAGACUGAAUUAGCUACUGCGUAUAAGACUGAAUUACCGCUUAUCAGACUGAAUUAGCUACUGCUUAUUAGACUGAAAUACCGCUUAUUAGACUGAAUUAGCUACUGCUUAUUAGACUGAAAUACCGCUUAUCAGACUGAAUUAGCUACUGCGUAUAAGACUGAAUUACCGCUUAUUAGACUGAAUUAGCUACUGCUUAUUAGACUGAAAUACCGCUUAUCAGACUGAAUUAGCUACUGCGUAUAAGACUGAAUUACCGCUUAUCCGACUGAAUUUGCUACUGCUUAUUAGACUGAAUUACUGCUUAUCAGACUGAAUUAGCUACUGCGUAUAAGACUGAAUUACUGCUUAUUAGACUGAAUUACCUCUUAAUGUGGUGAAUUAUGUUUCUCAUUGAGUUCAAUAUUACUAAGAUAGGCUUAUGCUGUUCUGAGGGUGUCCUAGUUGUGGUGUGGAUUGAAAUGUGGAGUCAAGAGAAUGUGUUGUGCACGAUUUAAUUGUCUUUUAAUGGCCUCUUACAAGACUGUGACAGAGUGAAGCGACAUGCUAGAGUAUCAUAAAGAAACAGAAACGGACAAAGAGAAGGACAAUGUGCUCUUGGUUUUCUACAACAGCCCUCAAAAUCCUCACAGAGACACAGACCAGCACUUGAGUCUCUUCAACAACUCACCAACAAGAGAACAACUCAUUCCACUCCACUCAAUGUGACGCGAGAACGUACCCGUGAUCCCCAUACACUAUUUACAACCCGAGUCCACUUUUUCUCUAAGGCAGAUGUUGAAAGCACCCAGUGAGCUGUCACUAUGAAAACACAACAUGGCAGUUGUUUUUCAGUAGACGUGGCUACGCAGUAGAGAGAACAAAUGAGAGACAGAAGAAUUCAAAAAGAAUCCCAGAGCUCUGGAUUCCAUGGCUUCGUCCCAAAUGCAACCCUAUUCCCUUUAUAGUGCACUACUUUUGACCAGGACCCAUAGUGGACUAUGUAGGGAAUAGGGUGCCCUUUGGGACGAAACCCAUGGCUCGCGCCACUCUACCCCAGCCACAAAAUGUUUAUGAAGCACUGAAAGCAGGAAGCCAAUCAAACAACUCUGUUUUUGCAUGAAAGUUAAUCUCUCUUAACAGACCUUGGCUUCAAAGUUUACUUACUCAUAUUAAAAAGUGUCUGGGUAAAUUGGGAACAUCGAGCCAUCAACAUUUGGUUUAAUGGGGAUCACCCCUUUUCAUCAGCUGAUAUUGACUUCAUGAUCGAAGCAUAGCUUUCUCAUGCAGUUACCAGAUUGAAGAAGAUGUUGGUCAUCUGUAGGUUUAUUGUCCAGUCAUACGAUGACAUUUACUGGCUGACAGUUCAUUGAAUUUCUCAUUGAUUAUCAUUCAACCCCAUUGCCAUGUUCUACAAUUUGAUGGAACCCAAAGAAACAUUUAGCUAGGCCUAUAUCUUCCACAUUACAGACGAAUAAUUCAACGGGAGGACUUGAUAGCAAUAGUCAUAUUUGUGUUUCCUCUUCACACUAACCAACUUCGACAGGCCCAAUCAGAGGUAGAUCUAGAAGCUUAGAGGUGCGUGCUCUGCUCUACUCCGCUCACAGGGACAGUUUAUCCCAAAUGGCCACAUUUGAGACGCAACCAUGGAAUAGAAUGCCUCCGCUAUGCAAUCAGAGGCUCCCCAGGUCAGUAUGAAACACCAACUGAAGUCUUCAGAGGAACAGACACCAAAACCCUAGAGCUGGACAGUUAUAGUGCCUGUUUAAUAUACAGUUGGGGUCAUUACUUCUAUAGGGGAUUUUUUGAUUUAAGGGAGACAGAUACGUCAUUGUGCCGUGGUUAAUGUCCGUCCGGAUUUAACCAUCAUCUAGAGUGCGGUAUCAUUCACAGAGGGAGGUGAGGUAGCUAGAACUGGGUUUUGUUUUUCAUUGGUUCGACUGCAUCAGGGUUGUCACUAAUGACUAAUAGAGGGCUCUCUCUCCUAUUUCUCUGCGGUCACAUCCUCUUGCAUGAAGAGAGUGAGUGAUUGAGUGAGAGUGAGAGAAAAUGAGAGUGAGAGUAAGGUAGAGCGAGAGAAAGAAAGAGAAGAGAAGAGAGAGCGUGUGCGAAGAGAUAAGCAGAACAUUGGCUUAUAAUGAUCUCUACCCAAGACAGAGGAGCUGGAGAUCCGUGAGAGACCUUUCUAGCUCCAUUAACCACAGUACACUACCUCCCUGACGAUCACAGAGACACCGUCAACACAUCGUUAAUUGCGGUCGACGUCAGCGGGCACAGUGUCAAUCUUCUGUGAAAAACUGUUUCAAGAAAAAAGUUGACUUGGAUGCCACUGAAAAUGUGGUGAUUAUUUUCAGAUUGCGAAGUUGUGUGACCGUUUCAAAUCAAGCCAAACUUGAUGAAUGAUUUACUCUAAAUGCAACUCAAUAAUUGAGAACUGACAUUGAUGCAUGAUUCAUGAUAAACCACAGUGCAACAUUAUGCAUAUUCAAGCAUACCCCAUAAGGGAUACUUGACCAAUUAUCGGAUGUGUUAUUGAAUAGCAUCAAUCACUAAAGGCUCAUGAAUUAUGAAUUGAUAGUUUGUUCAAAGUGGAAAUGUAUUUUUCUCUUUGUCUGAAGCACCACAACAGCCCCAUAUGCAAGUAAACAGUCCAUUAAUGUGUUGGGGUUAGAAAACCUCGCUGUGGUAAACAUCUCCACGCGUUGCCAUCGCAAUCUGGGUCUGUUCAUCAGCAAACACAUAAACACAGAAACGACAGGAAUUUAGUUCCUGACUGCAGCCAAAUCUCUCUCUCUCUCUCUCUCUGGACGAUAUCCCAUUCGUUUAUUCGCCCGUGUUGUAAAGAAAACAUCUGUUUGCUCCACUGGGGGGAAAAUAUAUUGUGAGGAAUUUAGGGCAGGAAUGCUCAUUCUAUUCAAUCUAUCUCCAAUAGUUUGCUGCUGUGAUGUCAAACAACAUCUCUAGCUUUCAAAUCUGCAGAAUACUGGUAUGUUCUUCUUAUGUACAGAUACAGGAUCUAAAUUUGACCAGUUUCUCACAGCAGGAAAAUAAUCCUGCAGCAACAGCAAAUAUAGAGGUUGAUACAUUUUUAGUUAGGGCAAAUCAAGUCGGACAUUUUUAAGUGGGAAUUACAAACUUUAGAAGCUUUUAAAACCUUGAAUACAUUACGAGUUUGCAUUUCCUGCUGUACAGGAAAUUUCCUGCAACAAGAGGGUGAUCAAAUUAAGAUCCUACAUCUGUAAGCUCUUGAGAAAAGUGUUCCAUACCAUCCGAUCCAGGGGGUUACAACAUCAACGUCUCCACACAGACGACUAGCCGAAAAUAGUAACAUUUCACAAUCUGUUAACAAGUGCUGACAACUCACAAAUGAUAGCAACCAGGGAUAUAAAACACAUCUGUCUUUAGAACACCUACAUGUGUUCAGAUCAGAUCACAUCAUGCCUCUUCCUGGGUUGGGGUCAAUUCCAUUCCGAUUCAGGAAGCGCCUCCUGAAUUGACUGAAUGGAAAUAUAACUGACCUCAAUCCUGGUCUCUCAAUAAGAAUAUGGUGAACUGACAUGGAAAUGCUAAAUGUGUGUAAUGUGUAUGUUUUUAUGCUUUUAAUGUAUGUUUUUAUGUCUGUUUUUAUCCUUUCAAUGCCAAGAGUGCCAAAGCCAAUGUUCAAUUUUGUGCAAUAAAGUUUUGUAAUGUACACUGAACAAAAAUAUAAGUGCAACAUGUCCCAUGUUUCAUGAGCUGAAAUAAAAGAUCCCAAAAAGGUUCCAUAAUA